GAUGAACGCUGGCGGCGUGCCUAAUACAUGCCAGUCGAGCGAACGGACGAGAAGCUUGCUUCUCUGAUGUUAGCGGCGGACGGGUGAGUAACACGUGGAUAACCUACCUAUAAGACUGGGAUAACUUCGGGAAACCGGAGCUAAUACCGGAUGAUAUUUUGAACCGCAUGGUUCAAAAGUGAAAGACGGUCUUGCUGUCACUUAUAGAUGGAUCCGCGCUGCAUUAGCUAGUUGGUAAGGUAACGGCUUACCAAGGCAACGAUGCAUAGCCGACCUGAGAGGAUGAUCGGCCAAACUGGAACUGAGACACGGUCCAGACUCCUACGGGAGGCAGCAGUAGGGAAUCUUCCGCAAUGGGAGAAAGCCUGACGGAGCAACGCCGCGUGAGUGAUGAAGGUCUUCGGAUCGUAAAACUCUGUUAUUAGGGAAGAACAUAUAUGUAAGUAACUGUGCAAAUCUUGACGGUACCUAAUCAGAAAGCCACGGCUAACUACGUG
rnacentral:rRNA from 1 species